rnacentral:tRNA from 1 species
ACCUGACUGGCUUAGUUGGAAGAGUAUGUGACUUUUGAUCUCAGGGUCAUGAGUUUGAGCCCCAUGUUGGGUA